GGCCAGUUAACUCAGUUGUUUGAGCACGGUGCUGAAAACAUUGAGGUCGUAGGUUCGAUUCCUGCUCAGUCUC
rnacentral:tRNA from 1 species